rnacentral:rRNA from 1 species
AAGAUGGCGACUGGCGCACGGGUGAGUAACACGUAUCCAACCUGCCGAUAACUCUGGAAUAGCCUUUCGAAAGAAAGAUUAAUACCGGAUAGUAUACGAAUAUCGCAUGAUAUUUUUAUUAAAGAAUUUCGGUUAUCGAUGGGGAUGCGUUCCAUUAGUUUGUUGGCGGGGUAACGGCCCACCAAGACUACGAUGGAUAGGGGUUCUGAGAGGAAGGUCCCCCACAUUGGAACUGAGACACGGUCCAAACUCCUACGGGAGGCAGCAUG